GGCUCAACCGUAAAAUUGCCAUUGAAACUGGCGAACUUGAGUACAGUAGAGGUAGGCGGAAUUCGUGGUGUAGCGGUGAAAUGCUUAGAUAUCACGAAGAACUCCGAUUGCGAAGGCAGCUUGCUGGACUGUAACCGACGCUGAGGCACGAAAGCGUGGGGAUCAAACAGGAUUAGAUACCCUGGUAGUCCACGCCGUAAACGAUGAAUGCUAGCUGUUAGCGAUAUACUGUUAGCGGCACAGAGAAAUCGUUAAGCAUUCCACCUGGGGAGUACGCCGGCAACGGUGAAACUCAAAGGAAUUGACGGGGGCCCGCACAAGCGGAGGAACAUGUGGUUUAAUUCGAUGAUACGCGAGGAACCUUACCUGGGCUUAAAUUGCAGUGGAAUAACGUGGAAACAUGUUAGCCUUCGGGCCGCUGUGAAGGUGCUGCAUGGUUGUCGUCAGCUCGUGCCGUGAGGUGUCGGCUUAAGUGCCAUAACGAGCGCAACCCUCAUCGAUAGUUACUAACAGGUUAAGCUGAGGACUCUAUCGAGACUGCCGACGUAAGUCGUGAGGAAGGUGGGGAUGACGUCAAAUCAGCACGGCCCUUACGUCCAGGGCUACACACGUGUUACAAUGGGGGGUACAAAGGGCAGCUACCUGGCGACAGGAUGCUAAUCUCAAAAACCUCUCUCAGUUCGGAUUGGAGUCUGCAACCCGACUCCAUGAAGCUGGAUUCGCUAGUAAUCGCGCAUCAGCCACGGCGCGGUGAAUACGUUCCCGGGCCUUGUACACACCGCCCGUCAAGCCAUGGGAGCCGGGGGGACCUGAAGUAUGCAACCGUAAGGAGCGUCCUAGGGUAAAACUGGUGACUGGGGCUAAGUCGUAACAAGGUACC
rnacentral:rRNA from 1 species